GAGUUGUAUAUGCUGCUGCCCGUAGAUUUCAAGUGCCCCUCCCUGAGAAUCCUCCUUGGUGGAAAGCAUUUGAUGCAGACAAGGCUGGUAUAGAUGAAGUUUGCAGAGUUCUUGCUCAUCUUUACAGUCUUCCAAAAGCAAAAUACAUUCCUGUGUGCAAGGAAGGAGGUUCCUUUGCUACAUCAAACAGAUCAAGAGACUCGCCGUCGCUUCCUGUAUCUAAGGAAGGUUUGUUGGAUGCUCCACCAGUGAAU
rnacentral:misc_RNA from 1 species